CCUACGGGUGGCUGCAGUGGGGAAUAUUGGACAAUGGGCGAAAGCCUGAUCCAGCCAUGCCGCGUGUGUGAAGAAGGCCUUCGGGUUGUAAAGCACUUUCAGUGGGGAAGAAAGCCUUGGGGCUAAUACCCUCGAGGAAGGACAUCACCCACAGAAGAAGCACCGGCUAACUCCGUGCCAGCAGCCGCGGUAAUACGGAGGGUGCGAGCGUUAAUCGGAAUUACUGGGCGUAAAGCGCGCGUAGGCGGUCUGAUAAGCCGGUUGUAAAAGCCCCGGGCUCAACCUGGGAACGGCAUCCGGAACUGUCAGGCUAGAGUGCAGGAGAGGAAGGUAGAAUUCCCGGUGUAGCGGUGAAAUGCGUAGAGAUCGGGAGGAAUACCAGUGGCGAAGGCGGCCUUCUGGACUGACACUGACGCUGAGGUGCGAAAGCGUGGGUAGCAAACAGGAUUAGAUACCCUUGUAGUC
rnacentral:rRNA from 1 species